GAUGAACGCUGGCGGCGUGCCUAAUACACGCAAGUCGAGCGAACGGACGAGAAGCUUGCUUCUCUGAUGUUAGCGGCGGACGGGUGAGUAACACGUGGAUAACCUACCUAUAAGACUGGGAUAACUUCGGGAAACCGGAGCUAAUACCGGAUGAUAUUUUGAACCGCAUGGUUCAAAAGUGAAAGACGGUCUUGCUGUCUCUUAUAGAUGGAUCCGCGCUGCAUUAGCUAGUUGGUAAGGUAACGGCUUACCAAGGCAACGAUGCAUAGCCGACCUGAGAGGGUGAUCGGCCACACUGGAACUGAGACACGGUCAAGACUCCUACGGGAGGCAGCAGUAGGGAAUCUUCCGCAAUGGGCGAAAGCCUGACGGAGCAACGCCGCGUGAGUGAUGAAGGUCUUCGGAUCGUAAAACUCUGUUAUUAGGGAAGAACAUAUGUGUAAGUAACUGUGCACAUCUUGACGGUACCUAAUCAGAAAGCCACGGCUAACUACGUG
rnacentral:rRNA from 1 species